GACGAACGCUGGCGGCGUGCUUAACACAUGCAAGUCGAGCGGAAAGGCCACUUCGGUGGUACUCGAGCGGCGAACGGGUGAGCAACACGUGAGUAAUCUGCCCCUGGCUUUGGGAUAGCCACCGGAAACGGUGAUUAAUACCGGAUACGACCACUUCUCGCAUGGGAUGGUGGUGGAAAGUUUUUUCGGCCAGGGAUGUGCUCGCGGCCUAUCAGCUUGAUGGUGAGGUAAUGGCUCACCAUGGCUUCGACGGGUAGCCGGCCUGAGAGGGUGACCGGUCACACUGGGACUGAGACACGGCCCAGACUCCUACGGGAGGCAGCAGUGGGGAAUAUUGGACAAUGGGCGGAAGCCUGAUCCAGCAACGCCGCGCGAGGGAUGACGGCCUUCGGGUUGUAAACCUCUUUCAGCAGGGACGAAGCGCAAGUGACGGUACCUGCAGAAGAAGCACCGGCCAACUACGUGCCAGCAGCCGCCGUAA
rnacentral:rRNA from 1 species